GAGUGACCUGCACCAGACACAGGGCCUGCUGACGAUCACGGACAUCCACCAGCAAUCCUAUCAAGACUAUCAAGAUUUUAUCAGGUUAUAUAAUGUUUGCCUAGGUUUCAAAGAAUAUACCUGCUGAGAUGCUUCAGAGUUGUGGUAUGCACAGAACUGCUCCAUACGUCUGUUCCAUGGGACACACCAAUGGUUAGGACUGUUGAGGCUCAUGGACAUUCACAAGUCACACAGCCUAUCGAACCACCUGUACCAGACGGAGAGCCUGCUGAGACUCAUCUUCCUUUUCGCUUGGUGGUUGUGGUGGUGCAGACGGACUUGUACUUGUCAGAGUGCCUUGAGGUUCAUGGAU